AUACGGAGGGUGCAAGCGUUGUUCGGAAUCACUGGGCGUAAAGCGCGCGCAGGCGGCUUGAUAAGUUGGAUGUGAAAGCCUACGGCUCAACCGUAGAACUGCAUCCAAAACUGUCAGGCUAGAGUGUGGGAGAGGAAGAUGGAAUUAGUUGUGUAGGGGUAAAAUCCGUAGAGAUAACUAGGAAUACCAAAAGCGAAGGCAAUCUUCUGGAACACUACUGACGCUGAGGCGCGAAGGCGUGGGGAGCAAACAGGAUUAGAAACCCCGGUAGUCC
rnacentral:rRNA from 1 species